rnacentral:tRNA from 1 species
GGGUUGAUGGCUCAGUGAGAGAGCAUCUGCUUGGCACUCAGAUGGUCCAAGGUUCAAUCCCUGGCAUCUCCA